GUGGUCUCUGGAAAAGGUGAGGAUGCCCUUUGAUGAGCCUGGGCAAAGCCUUUGAAUCAGGACAUGCAAUUUGAUCCAGCAAUUAGCAAUAUAACCAUGGUGUUUACGUAUUAUUUAAUGGAGAAUGGUUUGGUCCGGGCAUGGUUGGUGAUUCCCAGGGUUGCCGGUCUUCAUCUCUGCUGUCCAAUGAUUCUUUUAUUACAGUUGAAGGCGCCUGUCAUUGGUGUGCAAGCCAGACCUGAGGGACGACCAACAGAACAUCCUUGAGAAGACGAUGGCACCCAUCAUCCAAUCGUUCCAUGGGAUUGUGACCUGCAUUGAAAUUUCAGUGCUAUGCGUUCCGCCAGACUGAGAUCAAAAAGACCCCCAUUGUAUCAAUUUACAUUCGUAACACUUUAUUAUGUCAAUUUGUUGAUUGUUCUAACAGUUGCUCAGCCUCACGUAAUAUUCCAACAGUGCAUAUUUUUUGUAAUUUUGAUUGUUCGUUAGAGUUCUAGAUACUAUGCUCGAGUAGAGUAGGUUUACUAUAACAGAUUGUUUAGGAAUCACAAGUGCAGAAGGUCUUCUACCAUCUGUGGUGUGAGGGUUUUGAAGCAGAUAUUCAUUCUAUGUGACCACGACGGGGAUGAAAUAGGGAAACAAGAUUCAGAUAUAUGAUUUGAGGUUCGUAGUGGAGAAGAGCUGUGAGAAACUGCAGUUGCUUUCUUUUAUUGCAACGCAUGGACAAUUAUCUUUUCUUUUUGGCGAUCACAGGGAACAAAUACUACGUGGAUCAAGUCGGGGAUUCAUGGCAAGGGAUUGACAAAUUUUUAUGAAAGCAGUUUGCUACACACUGCAGUGUGACAGAAAAUCCGUUUAGAAAAAAGUGUGACAUAAAAGAAAUAGUUUCGGCAUUGGAGUCAGUUUCUUCGAUGUUUUCAUUGUUCUUAUCGGGAAGUGUGAAGUGAAAUUGUGGAAAUUUUCCCAAGUCCCAGGAUUGCAUAGGCCUUUAUUACUGGUGUGGUGGUAUGGGCACAUGAGGGGUGUGCUAUUGAUAUUUUUAUGUGAGAUAUU